rnacentral:lncRNA from 1 species
GCUCCCGCCUUACUCUCCACCCUUACAUCACGUGGUUCCCCUUUCAUCCUCUGCACUCCAGCACUGUCCUUUUUUUUUAACAUCCUGAGAUGUCCCAUGCUUGUUUCAGUCACCACAUUGCACAUGCUGCUCUUCUUCCUGGCUGUCUGUGACAUUCAGAGGGUGGAGGGUUAAAAACUUAUAUUUAGCAACAGGAUGUAUCUGUGGUUAGGGACGCUCAGUCUAGUGGACAAUGAAAAAUUAAAUAUACCUUUCUUAGAAGAAAAUGAAAUUUCAGAUAGACUAUUAAAAUAGGCUUAAUCUUAUAUUAUCUUUAAUGUUUAUGGAUCUUAGAAUGCAGUUGUUGGCUUUUUAAAAAAAAUUUAUGAAAAACAUUUUAAAUUUCUUUCAUUCUUUGUAUAUACAGACUAAUAUUCCAGGAAGAAAAAAUAAAAUAAAAUGUGCUUAUUUAACUUGAAGGAAAGUGCCCGCCUUCUUGCAUAUAUUGCAAGAAUAAGCAUUCAGUCAAUAAUCGGUCAUCUUCAACACUUCUUACAAAUAAACUAGGUUUUGUAGUCUAUUGCAAGUCAGCAUUUCUCACUGGCUAUGAUGGAGAUGGACUUGGGAUCCUAGGAAGAAGGCCCGGAAACAACAUUUCUUCUCCUUUUAUGAUUUCAGUGAAGAAUGCAAAUUGCACAUCAGAUUUUGAGGAAUACUUUGCCAAAAGAAAACUGGAGGAACGCGAUGGUCAUGCAGUCAGCAUCGAGGAGUACCUUCAGCGCAGUGACACAGCCAUUAUUUACCCAGAAGCCCCUGAGGA